GGAGAGAUGGCUCAGUGGUUAAGAGCACUGACUGUUCUUCCAGAGGUCCUGAGUUCAAAUCCCAACAACUACA
rnacentral:tRNA from 1 species